UAUGUGUGGACAAUCUGGGGCAGGGCUAUUGAUGGUCACUAUCCACAUAAAAUACAAAUAGCCUACAUUUUUAAAGCAGAUAUUAAUGGAUCAAGUGUGUAUGUUACUCUAUGUGUUCCACACUGCUGUUUCAGAGUGUACCCAGAGGUCUAGCCAUACCUCCACAGCACAGAUGUUGAACAUUUUCAGGAAAGACCCAUUUCUUCCGUAAUAAUGACUGAAGUUUAUCUUCCUUUCUUUUUCAUUAAACGAUGAAGGCUCUCUGUCCUCUUCCUGUUUUUCUCGCAGCCUCUUUCCCUCAGUCAAUAUUUGGAUUGAGCACACUUUUCUGUUUGCCGUCUAACCCAGUUCGUACCCUGGGGUUCAUUAAACCCCGUCUCUCUGAAUGUGAGAGUCUCAUCCCAAAUGGACAGAUGACGCUUGUGUCUAAAAUAUGCCUUCAUCUGGUCAUUUUUUGAAUGCAGAAAUGCAUGUGGUAUGGCAGUUGGUGAAAAGAAAAAUGACAUCUGAUGGGGAGAUUGAAAGAAGUAAAUUUGUUCAUAAAUGUCUUUUUCAACUUCUACUAAGAAAUACAUAUUAAAUAUUUGCUUGCUUAUCUCUUAAGUUCACUUGAAUUUGUUCUUGAUUUUUAGUUGUGAAGUAAUAAUGCUUUGGAAGCCAGUCUGAAACCAGUUUUUUUUAGGAGACAGGCUACUUUUAUACAAAAACAUUGCCUUUAAGUCAAGCAACGAGACUUCAGUUUCAGACAUAGCUAGUGACUGGGAAACAAAUAGCCAUCUUCUCUUUGUCCAUCUUGGUCUAAAAGACUGUUGAAUCCACAUUUUAGUGUUUCUUGUGCCAUAAUUGUUGGAAACAGUUUGACUGGCCUAAUAUAUGGCACUAUAAGUGUUUUAACUGUUGGGAAGUGAUAAUUUGUUAUCAAAGGAAUUGUGACGUUUCUAUUGUGGCCUACUGUAUAAUAAAGUGCAGAUCUUUGACGAA